GACAUAUAGCAAUUGUUUUGAAAAAAACUGUAAUUGGCUUGAAGUUUCUGUUUUCCUGUUUUAUCCAAAAACAAAUUCAGGGGAAUGAAACAUGAAUGGUGGCACUUGCACGAUAGAUCAAAUCAGACCUAAGUUAUAGUUUGAUGGAGUAAAUCGGGUCGAUAAAAUAGGACUUUAAACUGAGGACUCUAUAAAACUGCUGAGUUCGAAAGUAUUUGUGAUAUGUUUUUUUACUAUUCCAUAAAUAUGGUUUCGACGUCCUAGAUUUUUUUUAAAAUUGGAAUUACCAUAAUAUUAGAUAUGUUUGCUUACAUCUUUGUAUCUGUGAGGUGGUCAAUCUCACUUGGGUGAUAACCUCCACACUAUUGGCCUGACUAGCUCCUCUUGCAAUCCCUGAAACAAGGAAGACAAACACCGUUAUCGGCCGAUUGUCGGCCGGGAAGACCCUCCGAUGCUUAAAUAAGUGACCGGAAAAGGAGUAUGAGGCAUGAGAACUCAAAUGCAAAGUUUUAACAGGGUUAGAAGGCAUACCAUAGCUCCCGCGGUCACCUCGGCCUCUAAGCCAUCCAUGGUCACGUACCUAGCACACUUCUCACGUUCUCUUUCCUAUUAUUCCGGGCGGAAGCCUCCCCCCCCCCCCCAACCCCCAACCCCCAAUGGUUAGGGAGUUAACCUUCCUCCGCAUUUGUCGAGCAUGCAGCCAUUCCGGCCACGCCACGUGUAAGAUCCGGUUCUUUGGCUGGUUCUCCCAAAUUAGGCAUGAAGUCUCUCCGUCGGGUUCACCCAGACUGGACUUCUUCGGUUUGAGUCGGUCUGUCCUCCUGUCCAAGUCUUUUCCGUGUUUGUUCAGCCGAAGGAGCUUGUCUGUCCUCCAUUCGGACUAAGAUGCUAGGCUGUCUUCUAGGGAGCUAGGCUGUCCUCCAGUCAGACUAAUAUGCUAGGCUGUCCUCCAGUUUGGACUUAGAUGCCCCCCAAACAUAUUUUGGCCCCUUACAAUAUCCACAUAAGUUCCAUUGUAGAAGGGCUUCACAUAAGAUACAUGUUGAUAGUUCUACGCCACCUAAUAUUCCAUAUUCUCAAAGAGACCUGCCUGCAGUUCGCCCACUGUAACUUGAAAUUUGUCACAAUGAUGUGUUGCAUAAUCACAUGAUAACUUUGUUCAUGAUGGACUAAAGUUAAUAGAAUAUUUGUUUGUUAACUUUGUUUAUGCUUGGAGUAUGGCCCAGUGAUGACUGAAUAUUGGUCUUAGACUUGUAAAAGCAAAAAUAAUAAAAUAAUAAUAACUUAUUUUCUGGUAUGAAUAUAUUUAUGAUGCGCCCAAACCCUUAACCCCCUGUUUGAUUUUUUUU
rnacentral:lncRNA from 1 species